rnacentral:rRNA from 1 species
UACGUAGGGGGCAAGCGUUGUCCGGAUUUAUUGGGCGUAAAGAGCGUGUAGGUGGCUUUGCAGGUCCGCUGUGAAAACUCGAGGCUCAACCUCGAGCUGUCGGUGGAAACCGUAAAGCUAGAGUCCGGAAGAGGAGAGUGGAAUUCCCGGUGUAGCGGUGAAAUGCGCAGAUAUCAGGAGGAACACCGGUGGCGAAGGCGGGUCUCUGGGCCGUUACUGACGCUGAGGCGCGAUAGCGUGGGGAUCAAACAGG